rnacentral:rRNA from 1 species
UACGAAGGGUGCAAGCGUUACUCGGAAUUACUGGGCGUAAAGCGUGCGUAGGUGGUUUGUUAAGUCUGCUGUGAAAGCCCCGGGCUCAACCUGGGAAUGGCAGUGGAUACUGGCAAGCUAGAGUGCGGUAGAGGGUAGUGGAAUUCCGGUGUAGCGGUGAAAUGGCGUAGAGGUCGGGAGGAACACCAGUGGCGAAGGCGGCUACCUGGACCAGCACUGACACUGAGGCACGAAAGCGUGGGGAGCAA